rnacentral:rRNA from 1 species
UGGUCAGGACGAACGCUGGCGGCGUGCCUAACACAUGCAAGUCGAACGGAGUACAAGAAGCUUGCUUUUGACUUAGUGGCGGACGGGUGAGUAACGCGUGAGUAACCUGCCUCUGAGAGGGGAAUAACGUUCUGAAAAGAACGCUAAUACCGCAUAAUGUAUCGAAGCCGCAUGACUUUGAUACCAAAGAUUUUAUCGCUUGGAGAUGGACUCGCGUCCGAUUAGUUAGUUGGUGAGGUAACGGCUCACCAAGACCGCGAUCGGUAGCCGGACUGAGAGGUUGAUCGGCCACAUUGGGACUGAGACACGGCCCAGACUCCUACGGGAGGCAGCAGUGGGGGAUAUUGCGCAAUGGGGGCAACCCUGACGCAGCAACGCCGCGUGAAGGAUGAAGGUUUUCGGAUUGUAAACUUCUUUUAUCAGGGACGAAGCUUGACGGUACCUGAUGAAUAAGCUCCGGCUAACUACGUGCCAGCCGCCGC